AUGCUCUUUUUCCUUCACUUAAAGCUAGAUGGUGAUGUGUCCUGCACAAAAGACCAAGUCACAACCUUCACCUUCAAUCCUCUCUCUCCCUCUGAACACUCCAUCACCAUAAUCAUUCUUCAUUGCAGCCUUCACCUUCAUUACUGCAACAACCUUCAUCAACUUCAAUCUUCAACAACUGCGCCUUCAUCUUCACUUGCUCCAUAA